AUGCACUUCAUUGGGGAGUAGCCGCUUUUUACGCAAUGUAAAAAGGUGAUGGUCAACAUAAUUGUUCCACAGAACAUGGUCAUCAUAGCAAAGAACCAAAUGAUCUUUUGAUCACGAUUUUCUUUUUGUUGGCAAGACCUUUGAU
rnacentral:sRNA from 2 species